GGAUAACUGUGGUAAUUCUAGAGCUAAUACAUGCACCAAAGCUCUGACCUUGCGGGAAGAGUGCAUUUAUUAGAACAAAACCAAGCGGCUUCGGUCGUUUUUUGUUGACUCAGAAUAACUAAGCUGAUCGCAUGGUCUUGUACCGGCGACGUGUCUUUCAAGUAUCUGCCUUAUCAACUUUCGAUGGUAGUGUAUCUGACUACCAUGGUUGUGACGGGUAACGGAGGAUAAGGGUUCGACUCCGGAGAAGGGGCCUGAGAAAUGGCCACUACGUCUAAGGAUGGCAGCAGGCGCGCAAAUUACCCACUCUCAGAACGAGGAGGUAGUGACGAAAAAUAACGAGGCCGUUCUCUAUGAGGCCGGUCAUCGGAAUGGGUACAAUCUAAACCCUUUAACGAGUAUCUAUGAGAGGGCAAGUCUGGUGCCAGCAGCCGCGGUAAUUCCAGCUCUCAAAAUGCAUAGAAUUAUUGCUGCGGUUAAAAAGCUCGUAGUUGGAUCUGUGCCAGGAGAGCGGUCCACUUUCGGGUGGUACUGCUACGACUGGCUUUUUGCUGGUUUUCUCGUCGUAGUCUUAACCGAUUGCGGCGGGUGGCUGGCGAUUUUACUUUGAACAAAUCAGAGUGCUUAACACAGGCGUUUCGCUUGAAUGUUCUUGCAUGGAAUAAUAGAAAAGGAUUUCGGUUCUAUUUUAUUGGUUUUAUAGACUGAGAUAAUGGUUAACAGAGACAAACGGGGGCAUUCGUAUUGCUGCGUGAGAGGUGAAAUUCUUGGACCGCAGCAAGACGAACUACAGCGAAAGCAUUUGCCAAGAAUGUCUUCAUUAAUCAAGAACGAAAGUCAGAGGUUCGAAGGCGAUCAGAUACCGCCCUAGUUCUGACCGUAAACGAUGCCAACUAGCGAUCCGCCGGUGGAUAUUUUGCCCUGGUGGGGAGCUUCCCGGAAACGAAAGUCUUCCGGUUCCGGGGGAAGUAUGGUUGCAAAGCUGAAACUUAAAGGAAUUGACGGAAGGGCACCACCAGGAGUGGAGCCUGCGGCUUAAUUUGACUCAACACGGGAAAACUCACCCGGCCCGGACACCGUAAGGAUUGACAGAUUGAUAGCUUUUUCAUGAUUCGGUGGAUGGUGGUGCAUGGCCGUUCUUAGUUCGUGGAGCGAUUUGUCUGGUUUAUUCCGAUAACGAGCGAGACUCUAGCCU
rnacentral:rRNA from 1 species